CCCUCCUUUCUGUCCCCCUGGAGCUAGUGUUGUCCCUCCCCGUUUUCUGUCCCUCUGGAGCUAGUGCUAUCUGACCCUGCUUUUUGUCCUCAGCAUAUUACCUCAGUUGGGAACUUACCAACAUAAGAAGAGAAACCAAUCAUUUGUGACUUUUUAAGCCAGUCUUGUGACUCCUGGUUCCUUCUUGCCAGCACUGACCUUCUUUGCUUCCUCUGCAGAAACUGGCACAGGCCCAGCAUUCUAACUUGGGAGUGCCAGUUUGGUGGACUUCUGAUGCUAAAGUUCUUAGGACACUUUCUUCUUCCUCCUGGAUUUAAGGCAGCAGGCUUGGGUUGUGGGGGCCUGUGUGUUCCAUGAAAGAUCAACCUUGUGUUUGUUGAUGUUUCAAGUCAAUAUCCCGGCAUUCAAUUCCUGAACUGAACACACUGUCGGAAGAACAAGUCAGGCACUACCUUCUGAAUUUCGGAGGCACCCCCAAGCAUCUCAUUGAUGACCAGGACGUUCUGAGUCAGUGCAUUCCCAUUCUGAAGGCAGAUGCUGCCAUUGUGAAAAACUUCCUCUUUGACACGCCCUCGGAGGCUCUUCUUUCUCAGGACAUAACAUGCUUUUUCGGAUCUGAAGAUACAGUAAAGGACAUAAAAGGUUGGGAAGACAUAACCAGCGGGAAGGUUGACAGCUACAUGCUGCCAGGUGACCACUUUUAUCUGUUGGAACCUAACAACGAGAACUUCAUCAAGAACUAUAUAACCAAGUGUUUGGAAGUGUCGUUACUUGCUUGCUUUUAGAUGGGCCUUCAAUAUGCAAACCAAUCACAAGCUGUCCCUCUAGCUCCUGAGAUGGAGCACUUUAGUGUCCAGAGAUUGGAAGGUGCACAUUGAUGGAUUUCUGUUAAGGGAGCUGCAGGCUCCCAGCCAAUGGCUAUCUUAUGCCCCAAAAUAACAGCAAACAAACUGUAUUCAUAUAAACACUGCUUGGCCCAUUUCUAUUAAUGUGUGUAGCACCACGAGGUGCGCUUACAAGGAAGAUUCUAGCCUAAGUCCACCCUGGGUCGGAACUUCAUCAUGUCUGCCUCAGAGAGCAGAGCUAUGGCAUCUGUCUGAGGCGUCUUACCUCACUUCCUCUUUCUCCCAGCAUUCUGUCUGUUUACUCCACCUACCUAAAGGCUAGCCUAUCAAAUGGGCCAAGGCAGUUUCUUUAUUAGCCAAUGACCUUCCUCCAUCAGAUUUCUUCAUGGAGCAUCUCUCUAUUUGGGGAAAUGGCUAAUGCUAAGGGUCAGGGAAGCGAGGAGUUUCUGUAGCUGACAGCUGCAGCAAGAAGGGGCUACUUUUCUUUGGGGGACGUGGCCACUAGUUGGUUACUCAUGCUCCGUGUGCACCCACUGGUCGGUGACUCAUGCUCCGUGUGCACCCUGGUGGCACAGCAGACAGCUCGAAUUGGACUCAGUGCACUGUUUAAAAAGAAGAUGAGAAGAGCGGCACAGAAUUGGGAGGGGCACACAUUGGAGGACGUCCAUGGGGGGUGGGUUGGAAAGGUCAGUGAUGGGUGGAUAUGAUCAAAACACAUGUAUGCAUUUAGGAAAAUUUCAAAGGAUAAGUAAAAAUAUUGUUAGAGGAAGAAAACUUCUGCUAGUGUCCUUUAUCUUUUCAUUAAAAUCUAAUUUGAUUGACUUUUAUAUAAAGUUUUAUCAACAAAGUGUCUUCAGGUGGGGUUACACCUGAAGCUUCUUGCAUUAUUCUA